rnacentral:rRNA from 1 species
GCGUAACGGAGGAGUACGAAGGUACGCUAGGUACGGUCGGAAAUCGUGCUGAUAGUGCAAUGGCAUAAGCGUGCUUAACUGCGAGACCGACAAGUCGAGCAGGUGCGAAAGCAGGUCAUAGUGAUCCGGUGGUUCUGUAUGGAAGGGCCAUCGCUCAACGGAUAAAAGGUACUCUGGGGAUAACAGGCUGAUACCGCCCAAGAGUUCAUAUCGACGGCGGUGUUUGGCACCUCGAUGUCGGCUCAUCUCAUCCUGGGGCUGUAGCCGGUCCCAAGGGUAUGGCUGUUCGCCAUUUAAAGAGGUACGUGAGCUGGGUUUAAAACGUCGUGAGACAGUUUGGUCCCUAUCUGCCGUGGGCGUUGGAUAUUUGAAGGGGGCUGCUCCUAGUACGAGAGGACCGGAGUGGACGAACCUCUGGUGUGCCGGUUGUCACGCCAGUGGCAUCGCCGGGUAGCUAUGUUCGGAAGAGAUAACCGCUGAAAGCAUCUAAGCGGGAAACUCGCCUUAAGAUGAGAUAUCCCUGGGGACUAGAUCCCCUUGAAGGGUCGUUCGAGACCAGGACGUUGAUAGGUCAGGUGUGUAAGCGCAGUAAUGCGUUCAGCUAACUGAUACUAAUUGCCCGUAAGGCUUGAUCCUAUAACA